UACGGAGGAUUCGAGCGUUAUCCGGAUUUAUUGGGUUUAAAGGGUGCGUAGGCGGACUGUUAAGUCAGCGGUAAAAGCCCGGGGCUCAACCCCGGCGAGCCGUUGAAACUGGCUGUCUUGAGAUGUCGAGAGGUAUGCGGAAUGCGCAGUGUAGCGGUGAAAUGCUUAGAUAUCACGCAGAACCCCGAUUGCGAAGGCAGCAUACCGGCGCUCAACUGACGCUGAGGCACGAAAGUGCGGGUAUCGAACAGG
rnacentral:rRNA from 1 species